rnacentral:ncRNA from 1 species
UUAUUGUGUAUGUUUUUUUUUACUGUAUAUGUUUCAUUUAUUUUUUAAAGUUUUAUUCUUGCUUAAGGAUAGUUUUCACUUUUUCUUUGAGUUAUAUAUAAGUUUUGUUUUACUAAAUGUUCUUUUUGUAGUGAUUUAAUUUAAUUAUCAAGUUAUUUUGGAAUUAGUAAUUGAUCUAGUAUUGGCAUAAUUCGUGCCAGCAGCCGCGGUUAUACGAUUAAUGCAAGUGAAUGUUUUUGGUUAUUAUAGUUAUUAAUAUGUUUGGGUUAUAUUUUGAUUUUAUUAGGUGAAAUUUUAUUUUUAAAAUAAAUCCUUUUUAUGAGUCUAUGAAACUUGAUUAUUAAACUAGGAUUAGAUACCCUAUUAUUUCAAGUGUAAAUAUUUUUACCAGGGUAGUAUUAGUUAAGGUCUUUAAACCCAAAGAAUUUGGCGGUAUUUUAUUCCAUUCAGGGGAACCUGUCUCAUAAUUGAUAGUACACGAUUAACUUUACUUAAUUUAUUGGUUUGUAUAUCUCCGUUAUCAGAAAAUCUUUUUGGAGUAAUAAUUUUCUUGUUUUUUAUUAAAAUUUAUUUCAGGUCAAGGUGCAGCUUAUAAUUAAGUUGAUGAUGGGUUACAAUAAAUUUUUGUUUAUUAUGAAUUUAAUUUUGAAAUUUUUUAAUGAAGGUGGAUUUGAUAGUAAUUUAAUUUAUUUAUUUUAACUGAAAUUGGCUCUAGAAUGUGUACACAUCGCCCGUCGCUCUCAUUAUUAUUAAUUUAUUUAUUUUACUAUAAAUUAUGUUUAAUAUGAGAUAAGUCGUAACAUAGUAGGUGUACUGGAAAGUGUAUCUAGGAAGUUUAU